UGCAAACCCGCAGCCCUAGGCUCAGUUAAGGGCAGCAGGUUGUGUCUCAGGAGCAGUUAGUGUCCCUGCCUCUAGCAGGCCCCACGUGGAGUGUUCUUGGGUGUCUGUGGUUGAGAUGACCCCAAGGUAUCAGAAAGUCUCUUUUUUCCCAGCCCCAGACCAAAGAAGUAGUCGAGAUUUGUCGGUUCUGCUUUUCAAGGUUGUUUAUUUUCUCUUAUCUAUCACAUUCUUUCUCUGACCUGCUGAGAUCUGUCCAGCAGGUCAGGCUGUGGCACAGUCCCUGCCCUUGGGGUGCUGUUGGCUUUUUAUACUAAGAACUAGGUGUACUUUAUUUACAAUAAUUUUCCAAUACCUGUCACCUAUGUCAGACAGUCUGUCUCUACUCUAAACCAAUCCAAGAGUGCCACCAUCACAGCAGAAGAUGGAGGACAAGAAGAAGAAGGACAGGACAUGCCCUGAUUCCUCCAUCUUGCCUCUUGAACCCCCAUUCUAAAUCCCCAAAAUUCUACAUUUUCACCCUGUGACAAGUUCACCAUCAUUCUGCUCAAACCCUUGUGGCUUGUAACUCCUCACACAAAGUUGGGAAUUGUUUCCAUGGGCUAAAAUCAAAGGCACAGGUGUCUUUGACUCUGUGCCAAGGUCUCUGAGCCGCUGCCAGGGUCUGGAGUCACCCAGGGCAGCCAGAGCAAUGUCCUGGGUCCCGACAGAGUGUGCUGAGCUGGCACAUGGAAGGAGAGCAGGACUUCCCUGGGGUCUCCUGCCAGCGCCCCUGUUCCCAGGUCACCAGUUUGUUCACAAGAUGGUGAGUUGGCAGUGUGUCACAAUCUGCCUGUGGUGGCAACAGGCAGCUGGGGAAAGCCCAGAGCCCCCCAGUUCUGCUGGCCUGACCCUGCAGUCCCUCACCUCUGCCACCUGAGCCAUCACUCUUGUUCUGUGCAAACCAAAGCAAUUUUCUGGAAGCAUAAACAACAUCUAAGGCUGGCUUGUGGCAGAAGGGAGCAGCCCUGGCUUAGGUGUCUCCUCUCAGAUCCCAGUCCCAAAAGCCAGGCAGUGCCUGUUCCCUUGCAUCUUUUUCAGAAGAUGACACAGCCCUUCUCACAGGACACCAGGCCAGCUCCUCUUUUGGAGCCUAGGCACACCAGACUCAGCAGUGCCACUUCCUCUCCUGUGGUGGGAUCUGUUUUUAAAGCUCACAUCAUGCAGUGUCUCUCAGGGAAGCCAUGGGCACAGAGCCCUCUCCCCUUCCGCUCUGCUCCACACCCAGCCAGGGCAGCCUUGUCUCAUCCUCUGAGCCAAAACACCACAAACACUGAAAGCCACUCCUCUUCCAUUUCCUCCACUCAAACCCCAUGGAAGAGCAAAGAGGCUGAAGUGUUUCUGGGGAGCCUGGGGCUUAUCCAGGAGUGAUUGGGAAUAUGCCAGGCUCUGGCUUCUGCCUCACCCCAGUGUCUCCAGCCAGUCCAGGUUCCCUUCCCACCACACGGUCACUGGCACUGAGAACCCAAAAAGUAACAGAAGUGUUGGAACACUUUUGCUUUUGCCAGAACAAAAUCCACAGGUCACCCAGAGCUUCACCUGGAGCAGAACAAGGGCUCAGACAGAGAAUGAUGCUCUGUGAGAAGGAAAAAACCACUUGAAGGUAGCACUGGCAUCAGUUUGGAGGUGUUAAUUUGGCUUCUCAUGACCCAGGCUGGACACUCCAGCAUCCCAACAAUUACAAAGCUGGAGGUUUUGUCUUACAGACACUCAGCAAUUGCUUCAUCCCACUACCACAGCAGUCACCUCUACAGCACAUUCCCUGUGAACUUUUAGCUUGGAAGAGGCAGCAAAACCAUCCCUAGACAUCCUUAUUUUCUCUAUUUGUCACAAUUAAAAAAAAAACCAAAAAGCCAUCCCAAUUUGUUUCUGCAGCUGGCAUCCUUACCCCUGCAGGAAUUAAAUUUGGUGGUGGGGUCAAGGCAGCACUGGCUGUUUUUUCCAAGCUGGUAACACCAGAGCCCAAACCAUGCCAAAACUGCACUUUGUGCAUGGCUUCUCUACAUCCAGGAAUACAGACAUGCAAUACUCAAGCACUGUUUCAUAGAUUUUAGUUUAAAAAUGAUCACAGUAAAAAAAGACAAAAAAUUAGGAUUUUUAUUUGUAAGACAAAGCACAGUAUUGCAAUAUUCAAAGAGUGAUUAUACAGAAAUAAAGGCCACAAGAAGGUGAUUCAUAGUGGACAGAGCCACAUCAACAAUCCCCUGCCCUUUUUAUUGUUUUAAACCCAAAAUCCAAGAUAUUUCUACAAGCAUUCGGAUCAGUGUCACAUAAGUUACCUGAAUUUAUGUUAUUUUAUUCUAUGCUGUCAGAAAAUCAAGGAUUACACAGUAAUUAUGAAUACAAAAUAUAUCUCAAAAGCAGAGGUAAUAAUACCUGUAUUAUAGAGCUUUUAGUUUGUUUUUCUCUCUCCUCACCACCAGAGACAUGAAAGUAAAGAAGAAAGUAAAGAAAAAAGUUACCUCCUCCACCAAUCUGGUAGGAACACACAGGUGGAAAACUCAAGAUUAACACCCCAAAAAUAUUAACAGUGGCAGACAGACAUGAUACCUUAUUUUCCCUCCUCCCUUAUCUGUUGGGUUUCAAAAGCAGCAUCAGAAAACACAUUCAGCUUCAGGCUGCCAUGAGCCAGGGAGACAAACACAGCCUGACAAACAGGGAGCAGCACACAGCUCAGGGUAUUAUCCAAAGGUCACCUUUGUGCUGAUGCAGGGAAAAUGAGUUGGAGCUUCCCAGCAGCUUCUCCUAGUGAGGGAUCUGCACAGGGUUCUGGUGGCUCCAGCAGCACCAUGCAGGCAGCCAUGGCAGCUCCCAGCUGGCUGCAGAGCUCACUCUGCACGGGGAGGGGGGGGGGGGGCUGCUUUGGGGCUCCUUCAGCACCCAGGCAUCAUCUCUGCCCUUCCACCCACACCCAGCUGGGUGUAAAGCAGAGCUUGACCUACUCUAGCAGGGCAAGAAGUCUCACAGCACCAAUAUCAAAGCUUCUCUGCACCCUCCCCACCCUGGCACAGGGUGCCCAGAGCAGCUGUGGCUGCUCCGUCCUUGGCAGUGUCCAAGGCCAGGCUGGAUGGGGCUUGGAGCCUCCUGGGACAGAGGAAGGUGUCCCUGCCCUUGGCAGGGGUGGGAUGGUUUUUAAGGUCCCAUCUAACCUGAACCAUCCCAGAAUUCCCUGACAAAUGCCCUGAACAGGGCCAGUUCUCUGGUUAUUGCACAGACACAGGGAUGGUGGCCAGGACAAAUGCACUGUCCCAUUACAGACACAGGGUCACACCCCCCAGCAGCCCCAGCCUCCUCGAGCCCUCCUCUGCAGCACUGAAUGGCCAAACACAGGUUCAAACACCCUCUCCUUCACUGCCAGCAUCAAACACAGCCCAGAAAAGCUUCCCUAACCCAAAUGUCAGGCAGCUGUCUCAUUUUCACCUUUGUUCAAUAAUGCAAUUGUCCCGGAAAGGGUUCUCCAGCCAUCCCCAGAGCCAGCCCAGCACACAAGCUGUCCUCCAAAGGGAAGGGAAGCACAGUGGGUAUGCCAGGGCAGCAGGCAGCAGCAGUAAAUAACCCUGAGCCUGCUUUGUUCCUUCAUAAAAUAAAUGAUUAAUAGCCCAGGAUAGUCAGUCUGCUUGAAAAGCUCAGGAUUGCUGAAAACUUUUGAUCAGUUUGAUUCAUUAACCUUUAAAACUGCCUCUAAGAAAGGCUUAAAAUCUGAGGGAGAAGCAUAAUUUUAAACACUUCAAUUUUAUCCAGUGUUCCCUGCUUUUGACAAACUGAGCAAAGACACUCUGCUGCUCUUUAGAGACACUCAGCAUCAGUCAGGUGUCAAGGAAAAAAAAAAAACAAGGGGGAAAAUAAAGUUGCUGUAGACAAACAAUCCCAUGUUCAUCUUAGAAUUCAAAACCAGUCAGGACUGGGGGAGAAAAUGACCCUUCUUUGUGAUCCUUAAGCACUUGGCCAUACGCAGGUGGCUUCCCAACUGUCCCUUUAUUUCUUUUGCUUUUAAUGCUAAUAAAAAAGGAACCCAAACAGGGCACUCCAUUCCCCACACAAUGCCCUGGGGGAGGGCAGGGAGUGUCACUUACAUAUCCCAAAAGUCUGACUCAGACAAAUUACUUCUAGUUCACUUCCCCACGACACGCCUGCAUUGUUCCAACACCUUGGCAGCAGAAGGGGCUCAUCCCCAGCUAUCUGCUCCCAGGAACAGCCAUGGGGGCUGAUGUCAUUAAGGAGCUGUCCCAAUUACUUCCCUGGGGAAAGCAGUGACUUGCAGCUUAACGUCCUGCCCCAGCCCAGCAGGAAAACCAACGGUCAGCAGAGCCCCAGGGGCUGUGCUCCCGGGAGGAGCUGGGAUCCAGGGAUGGCAGCUGCCCCCUGCAGCUCCACCAUGGCUUUCUUAGAAAGGGACAGAUUCCCAAGAGAAAAAGGGCAUUCUGAACCAAGGAGAAGUCAUGGUCACUGCUGCCAGGCUGAUUGAGACAUUGGGAUUUGGCUGGGAUUUAUUUUCUGGAGAGGACAGAGAGCAGUGUGAAAAGGUCAGGAAAGGCCACUUGUCCUCUCUGCUUCACCAGCAGCCACAGUGGUACAAAGCCCAGCAGAGGAAGGUUAUUCCACCUCUAAGGGAACCACAAACUACAAAUUUAACAGAUCAAAACCUUCUCAGAGACACCCAGCUCACAGCUUCUUUUGCUGCAAUAAUUACACAUGGUCAAGGAUUUGUGAGUUUAAUAGUUUUAGGGAGCAAUUCCCAAGCCACAGCUGUCAGCUUUCUGAAAUCCCAUCAAAGCUUGCAGGAAUUCAGCAAUUUUAGCAGAAUAUCAAUGAUCUUAGAUAGAACAAUAUGAGGCUUCUGACAGAAAAACUGGGAUGCUUCAAACAGCCAGCAGUGUUGGAAAGAAAAAUGUUUAUAAAGGAAUCAGACCUCACCUGUAGCUUCAGCAGUUUUUCUGUAUUGAAUCUUUAUGCUUCGCUAUGCAGAGAAAAAUAUUUAACCAAACGAAACAAACCAAACUCCUAAUUUUACAGCUUUCAUGGGGUCUGAUGGAUUCCAAUUCAAUUAUUCAGUCCAGAUUGUAACAGCAAUUAAUCAGAAGUUAGCAAUAAAAUUAGAAGUUGAAGGGAUCAUAGAGAAUUAUUAUGACAAAGAAGUAUCUUGGUUUUUGGGCACCAUGUACAUCAUGCAUUUGCAUGGACAAAGAAAA